UACGAGGGGGGCAAGUGUUGUUCGGAAUCACUGGGCGUAAAGGGAGCGUAGGCGGAUGUUUAAGUCGGGUGUUUAAAACCGGGGCCCAACCCCGGAGCGGCACCCGAAACUGGGCAUCUUGAAUAGGUCAGAGGCUGGUGGAAUUGGAGGUGUAGCGGUGGAAUGCGUAGAGAUCUCCAAGGACACCUAUUGCGAAGGCAGCCAGCUGGGACCAUAUUGACGCUGAGGCUCGAAAGCAUGGGGAGCAAACAGG
rnacentral:rRNA from 1 species